CGUAAACAAAGCUUGAAACUCAUCUUUCCAUUUGUUUAAAACACUGUUCUUAUCGGUUUUGACAUUUCCUGUAAAAUUGAGAAUGGAAAUGGGGAAUAUGUUAAAGAGACAACAACCCGACCAAAGAGCAGACAACAGCCGAUGGCCACCAAUGGGUCUUCAACACAGCGAGAAAAUCCCGCACCCGGAGGUGGUCCUCAGCUGGCCCC
rnacentral:lncRNA from 1 species